AGAGUUAUAACUGGGUCAAAUGGUGGUCCCAUUCCUAGUUUUUAAAGGAAUCUCCAUAUUGCUUUCUAAGGUGAUUGUAUCAAUUUGCAGUCCCACCAGCAAU
rnacentral:pre_miRNA from 1 species